CCGGGGGCGCGCUAUAAUGCAAGUCGAGCGAACCAGAUUAAGAGCUUGCUCUUAAGAAGUUAGCGGCGGACGGGUGAGUAACACGUAGGUAACCUGCCUAUAAGACUGGGAUAACUCCGGGAAACCGGGGCUAAUACCGGAUAACAUUUUGCACCGCAUGGUGCGAAAUUGAAAGGCGGCUUCGGCUGUCACUUAUAGAUGGACCUGCGGCGCAUUAGCUAGUUGGUGAGGUAACGGCUCACCAAGGCGACGAUGCGUAGCCGACCUGAGAGGGUGAUCGGCCACACUGGGACUGAGACACGGCCCAGACUCCUACGGGAGGCAGCAGUAGGGAAUCUUCCGCAAUGGACGAAAGUCUGACGGAGCAACGCCGCGUGAGCGAUGAAGGCCUUCGGGUCGUAAAGCUCUGUUGUUAGGGAAGAACAAGUGCUAGUUGAAUAAGCUGGCACCUUGACGGUACCUAACCAGAAAGCCACGGCUAACUACGUGCCAGCAGCCGCGGUAAUACGUAGGUGGCAAGCGUUAUCCGGAAUUAUUGGGCGUAAAGCGCGCGCAGGUGGUUUCUUAAGUCUGAUGUGAAAGCCCACGGCUCAACCGUGGAGGGUCAUUGGAAACUGGGAGACUUGAGUGCAGAAGAGGAAAGUGGAAUUCCAUGUGUAGCGGUGAAAUGCGUAGAGAUAUGGAGGAACACCAGUGGCGAAGGCGACUUUCUGGUCUGCAACUGACACUGAGGCGCGAAAGCGUGGGGAGCAAACAGGAUUAGAUACCCUGGUAGUCCACGCCGUAAACGAUGAGUGCUAAGUGUUAGAGGGUUUCCGCCCUUUAGUGCUGAAGUUAACGCAUUAAGCACUCCGCCUGGGGAGUACGGCCGCAAGGCUGAAACUCAAAGGAAUUGACGGGGGCCCGCACAAGCGGUGGAGCAUGUGGGUUUAAUUCGAAGCAACGCGAGAACCUUACCAGGUCUUGACAUCCUCUGACACCCUAGAGAUAGGGCUUCCCCUUCGGGGCAGAGUGACAGGUGGUGCAUGGGUUGUCGUCAGCUUCUGGUCCGGAGAUGUUUGGGUUUAGC
rnacentral:rRNA from 1 species